UAACACAUAAAGUCCAGGAAGUUCUUAUCGUCGUAUGAAUAAACGAAGUCGUCUUCACUUAUGCGACUCAUAUUUUUCACACCCGUGCCGUGCGUCCCGAGUAAGAUUCCGUUCAGACAUGAAACGGUUUUGGGAAUUUCGUUCUUUCGUCGGAAAAUGGAAACUCCGCGAUUGUAAAAAUAUCAGGCUGAUUUAUGGGUAUCCUUUCGGUCCAUUCAUCCUUCCGUCGAUUACCAUUUUCCAUAUGCUCCGUGCACCAUUUUUCUACACCGUCUUGUACUACGGAAUUAAAUAUCGUAGGGAAUACUGCAGAUACACCCUGUAUCCUAUAUAACUGGCACCUAUAUCUAAUACUAUAUUCUUAAUUUAUUUUUUGGUUAAGUUUUUAUCCCCGGAAAAAAAAAACAGUUUCUCGCAAAAUCACAUGUGGUGUAUGUAGUCGUUUAUAUAUAUACAUACACAGAAAGAGGCAGAAACGUAAAAAUAACCAUUUCGGUAAAAGAACAUAAAUGCAUGUAUACGAGUAGUGUAUAGCGAGAUUUUGUUCAGCGGGUACAUUUCGCCCGGCGUAAGUCGAAAACCCAUGGUUUCGUGGCGGCAUCAGUCCCCCGAGAGGCAUAUAAUAUGGGUACUAUCGCUUGAAACAAAUUCGAAUUUUAUGCGUUUUUUUUUUUUCUACAAAACGACCCCAUAAUAAUGUUAUUUCGUUCUCCGUUUAUUAUGUUUUUGCGCCGUUCCUUAUGUUAUUAUCAUCAGAGGCCGGCACAGUUGCGUUUUUCACCUCUUGCCUUUCAAGUAAUAACGGGCAACAUUAUACCCCCUCCCCCCAAGAAAAAAAAAACGCUCGUUCACGCAAAAAAAACACAAUAAUGACAAAAAGACCUUCCAAAUCGGUUUCAGAAAUAAAAAAUAA